GGCUCCGUGGAGCAGAAUGUAGAUUCUCGGCUUUCGGCGCCGAGGUUCGUGGGUUCGAAUCCCGCUUGGGUCC
rnacentral:tRNA from 1 species